rnacentral:tRNA from 1 species
GAGGUAUUAGUGUAGUGGUAACACAACAGCUUGUGGAGCUGUUAUCGAGGGUUCGAACCCCUCAUACCUCC